AGAGUUUGAUCAUGGCUCAGAUUGAACGCUGGCGGCAUGCUUAAUACAUGCAAGUCGAACGGUAACAGAUUCUUCGGAAUGCUGACGAGUGGCGGACGGGUGAGUAAUACAUAGGAAUCUCCCCAUGUAGUGGGGGACAACUUGGGGAAACUCAAGCUAAUACCGCAUAAUUCCUACGGGAUAAAGAGGGCCACUGCUUGCAAGCUCUUGCUACUGGAUGAGCCUAUGUCGGAUUAGUUAGUUGGUAAGGUAAUGGCUUACCAAGACAGCGAUCCGUAGCUGGUUUGAGAGGAUGAUCAGCCACACUGGGACUGAGACACGGCCCAGACUCCUACGGGAGGCAGCAGUAGGGAGUAUUGGACAAUGGGCGCAAGCCUGAUCCAGCAAUGCCGCGUGUGUGAAGAAGGCCUGCGGGUUGUAAAGCACUUUCAAUUGGGAAGAAAGAUUAUGAGUUAAUACCUUAUAAUAUUGACG
rnacentral:rRNA from 1 species